UACGUAGGUGGCGAGCGUUGUCCGGAAUUAUUGGGCGUAAAGGGUUCGCAGGCGGUUGUACAUGUCAGGUGUAAAAGGCUAUGGCUUAACCAUGGUUAGCACUUGAAACUGUACAACUUGAGUGCAGGAGAGGUAAGUGGAAUUCCUAGUGUAGCGGUGAAAUGCGUAGAUAUUAGGAGGAACACCAGUGGCGAAGGCGGCUUACUGGACUGUAACUGACGCUGAGACACGAAAGCGUGGGUAGCAAACAGGAUUAGAUACCCUGGUAGU
rnacentral:rRNA from 1 species